AAAUUUACUGGUCAGAUAUACUCACGGAGGGCUGCUGUCACCUGUCAUCACUGCUGGACAGAUGAUUUCAACACAGACAUUACAAGUGGUCCAGCCUCUUCAUAAGCCUGCACUAAAGACACUGAAGCUUGUGAUCACCCGUGUCAGGACAAGGAAUGGCAUCUCCCUAACAGGACUCAAGAGCCUUUGCCAUUAUCUGUGGUAUUAAGCAGGUUUCAAUUAGGAUUUUAGGUGGAUUUUUUUCUUUGUUCCGCAGAAGUUUUAAUCAAGGCAGAAAAACUCUGACGCCUCAUUCUCCUCACAACAGUCAGUCACCAAAGCGUUGCAUUUUUCUUCCUGAAGCUUCCCCUCCCUCGGGCACAUUUUUAGCAAAAAAGAUGAGAUCCCAAGCUCUCCAGAUGUUGCCUCUCAGAUGUGCCUCAGCACGCAUCUCAGAGCCAUCUGGCCGCAGCAACAGCUGGACUGCUUCCAAGUGGAAGUGCUCACAGGCCAGGUGUCUCAGGGUAAUGAUGGAUAACCGUAGGUCGAGAUGACCGUUCAGCAGAAGAGACUAGAGGACUUAGCUGACUUGCAGAAACUGCUCAUUGUGGACAGCACACCUCUGAGGGAGGCCGGGAACUUGGCAGCAGACUUCAAGAAAGCAGCAGGAGGUAAAGGCAAGGCUUGGGCGUGGAAAACUGAAACAGGAAGGAGAUGUACAAGGGGAAGGAGACCUCCUAGGCACCCCAGUCCUGGGCAGCCUCUUCUCAGACUGCCAAGGAGCCACCAUUGCAACUGAUGGCCUCGUCCUGUGAGGACAACCAUGCGUCAGGCACUGGCUAUACGGACUGAGAAGCUGAAAACUGAUCAGAGUCAAGCUGAGCCUAUUGACCGCUUUCCAUGUCCACAGAGAUAAACACGAACAAACCUAAGAUAAAACCCCACUGAGUGCACUUCCCUGGGACCAUUUCGAGAGCUUCCGACCUCUG
rnacentral:lncRNA from 1 species